UACGUAGGUGGCGAACGUUAUCCGGAAUUAUUGGGCGUAAAGGGUGCGUAGAUGGUUUGAUAAGUUAGUGGUGGGAAAUCGAGGCUCAACCUCGUGGAAGUCACUAAUACUAUCAAACUAGAGUGCAGGAGAGGUUAACGGAACUCCAUGUGUAGCGGUAAAAUGCGACGAUAUAUGGAUGAACACCAAUAACGGCGAAGGCAGUUAACUAUUCUGCUACUGACAUUGAGGCACGAAAGCGUGGGGAGCAAAACGG
rnacentral:rRNA from 1 species